rnacentral:rRNA from 1 species
UACGUAGGGGGCAAGCGUUGUCCGGAUUUAUUGGGCGUAAAGAGCGUGUAGGCGGCCAGGCAGGUCCGUUGUGAAAACUCGAGGCUUAACCUCGAGCUGUCGGCGGAAACCAUCUGGCUAGAGUCCGGAAGAGGAGAAUGGAAUUCCCGGUGUAGCGGUGAAAUGCGCAGAUAUCGGGAAGAACACCCGUGGCGAAGGCGGCAUCCUGGACCAUUACUGACGCUGAGGCGCGAAAGCUAGGGGAGCAAACGGG